UCUAGAACUCGAGAUAUGGGCUAUAGACUAAAUAGUAUCUAGGCUGCAGGACAGAUUCCGACUUAUCUUUCGUUGCUACAAUGUGAACUUGAAAACGACCCUUUUGAAUCUUGGACUCUUCAUGAAAGUUUUAGACCCAUGUCUUAGCUUUCUAUC
rnacentral:pre_miRNA from 1 species